ACAAAGGGGGACAUGUACUAGGCAGUAAAAAGCGUGGAGAUAGGAGCCAGUGGAGAAGUGACCAUGGCAGCCAAUCAGCAUUGAGGUUCUGCCUAAUGUUUAAAACAGCAAAGCUCAACCUCCCAACAUUCUAUUGCCUUAAACAACUGGUUAGAAUCCCGUAAGCGACUUCAAAGCGAAAAUGAGACAUCAGACACACUUUAGACCUGCUACACCUGUCAUGGGAUAGCUGGAAGAAAAAUGUAUUAAAAAGGUUGCCGUUCACUGAUGAAGAUAC